UACAGAGGGUGCAAGCGUUGUUCGGAAUUACUGGGCGUAAAGCGCGCGCAGGCGGAUCCUGUAAGUCGGAAGUGAAAUCUCACUGCUCAACGGUGAGACUGCUACUGAUACUGCGGAUCUGGAGACCGGUAGAGGCUGGUAGAAUUGCAGGUGUAGCGGUGGAAUGCGCAGAUAUCAGGAGGAACACCGAUGGCGAAGGCAAUCCCCUGGGCCUGCACUGACGCUCAUGCACGAAAGCGUGGGGAGCAAACAGG
rnacentral:rRNA from 1 species